ACAUGCAAGUCGAGGGGUAGCAGGGAGCUUGCUCCGCUGACGACCGGCGAACGGGUGCGUAACGCGUAUAGAAUCUACCUCUUACUAAGGGAUAGCCCAGAGAAAUUUGGAUUAAUAUCUUAUAGUAUACAGACCUGGCAUCAGGAUUGUAUUAAAGGUUACGGUAAGAGAUGACUAUGCGUCCUAUUAGCUAGAUGGUGUGGUAACGGCACACCAUGGCUACGAUAGGUAGGGGCCCUGAGAGGGGGAUCCCCCACACUGGUACUGAGACACGGACCAGACUCCUACGGGAGGCAGCAGUGAGGAAUAUUGGACAAUGGAGGCAACUCUGAUCCAGCCAUGCCGCGUGCAGGAAGACUGCCCUAUGGGUUGUAAACUGCUUUUAUACAGGAAGAAACACUCUCACGUGUGAGAGCUUGACGGUACUGUAAGAAUAAGGAUCGGCUAACUCCGUGCCAGCAGCCGCGGUAAUACGGAGGAUCCAAGCGUUAUCCGGAAUCAUUGGGUUUAAAGGGUCCGUAGGUGGAUGAUUAAGUCAGAGGUGAAAUCCUGCAGCUCAACUGUAGAAUUGCCUUUGAUACUGGUUGUCUUGAGUUAUUAUGAAGUAGUUAGAAUAUGUAGUGUAGCGGUGAAAUGCAUAGAUAUUACAUAGAAUACCAAUUGCGAAGGCAGAUUACUAAUAAUAUACUGACACUGAUGGACGAAAGCGUGGGGAGCGAACAGGAUUAGAUACCCUGGUAGUCCACGCCGUAAACGAUGGUCACUAGCUGUUCGGACUUCGGUUUGAGUGGCUAAGCGAAAGUGAUAAGUGACCCACCUGGGGAGUACGUUCGCAAGAAUGAAACUCAAAGGAAUUGACGGGGGCCCGCACAAGCGGUGGAGCAUGUGGUUUAAUUCGAUGAUACGCGAGGAACCUUACCAGGGCUUAAAUGUAGAUUGACAGGUUUAGAAAUAGACUUUUCUUCGGACAAUUUACAAGGUGCUGCAUGGUUGUCGUCAGCUCGUGCCGUGAAG
rnacentral:rRNA from 1 species